GACGAACGCUGGCGGCGUGCUUAACACAUGCAAGUCGAACGAUGAAGCUAGAGCUUGCUCUGGUGAAUUAGUGGCGAACGGGUGAGUAACACGUGAGUAACCUGCCCCGAACUCUGGGAUAACUGCUGGAAACGGUAGCUAAUACUGGAUACGACCUACGAAGGCAUCUUCUGUAGGUGGAAAGAAUUUCGGUUCGGGAUGGACUCGCGGCCUAUCAGCUUGUUGGUGAGGUAAUGGCUCACCAAGGCGACGACGGGUAGUCGGCCUGAGAGGGUGACCGGCCACCAUGGGAAUGGAACACGGCCCAGAGUCCUACGGGAGGCAGCGGUGGGGAAUAUUGCACAAUGGGCGCACGCCUGAUGCAGCAACGCCGCGUGAGGGAUGACGGCCUUCGGGUUGUAAACCUCUUUUAGUAGGGAAGAAGCGAAAGUGACGGUACCUGCAGAAAAAGCACCGGCUAACUACGUGCCAGCCGCCGCCGUAA
rnacentral:rRNA from 1 species